UCAUGACUGGGGUGAAGUCGUAACAAGGUAGCCGUAGGGGAACCUGCGGCUGGAUCACCUCCUUAACCGAUGA
rnacentral:rRNA from 1 species